GAUGAACGCUGGCGGCGUGCCUAACACAUGCAAGUCGAGCGGCAGCGAGGGGUGCUUGCACCCUGUCGGCGAGCGGCGGACGGCUGAGUAACGCGUGGGAACGUGCCCCAAAGUGAGGAAUAACUGCCCGAAAGGGUAGCUAAUACCGCAUAUUAUCUUCGGAUCAAAGGAUUUAUCCGCUUUGGGAGCGGCUCGCGUCGGAUUAGGUAGUUGGUGAGGUAAUGGCUCACCAAGCCGACGAUCCGUAGCUGGUCUGAGAGGAUGACCAGCCAGAAUGGAACUGAGACACGGUCCAGACUACUACGGGAAGCAGCAGUGAGGAAUCUUCCACAAUGGGCGAAAGCCUGAUGGAGCAACGCCGCGUGCAGGACGAAGGCCUUCGGGUUGUAAACUGCUUUUAUAAGUGAGGAAUAUGACGGUAACUUAUGAAUAAGGAUCGGCUAACUACGUG
rnacentral:rRNA from 1 species